UAUAAAUUUUAUGAUUUAAAAAAUUUAUUUUAAAUUUAUUUUACAUAUAAAUUUUAGUAUGAAUUUUAUAUUAUUUUAAUAAUAUUAUAAAAUUAAAGUAGUAAUUAGCAUUAAAAAUUUAAGAAAUUAAGAUUUAGUAAUAUUUAUAAAUUAUAAACAAAUUUUGUGCCAGCAGUUGCGGUUAUACAAAAUAUAAUUUAAAUUUUAUUAGUAAUUAAUUAAUAUGAAAAUUAUUAAAAUUAAAUAUAAAAUUAUUAAGUGAAAUUUUAAUUUAUAAAAAUUUUAAAUUAUAUUAUGUUUUAAAAAAUUUUAUAAAAAACUAGGAUUAGAUACCCUAUUAUUAAAAAUUAAAUUAAAAUACUAAAAUAGUAAUUAAUAAUUUAUUGAAACUUAAAUAAAUUGGCGGUAUUUUAGUUCAUUUAGAGGAAUCUGUUUAAUAAUUGAUAAUCCACGAAUAAACUUACUUAAUAUAUAAUUUUGUAUAUCGUUGUUAAAAAAAUAUUUUUUAAUAAUAAUAAUAUUUUAAAAUUUUAAUUAAAAUUAGUUCAGAUCAAGAUGCAGAUAAUUAUUAAGAAUAUAAUGGAUUACAAUAAUAUAAUAAUUAAAUGAAUAAUAAUUUGUAAAAAUUAUUUGAAGGUGGAUUUAAAUGUAAUUUUAUUAAUUUUAUUAAAAUGAUUUUAAAUUAAAAUAUGUACAUAUUGCCCGUCGCUUUCAUUAAUAAAUUGAAAUAAGUCGUAACAAAGUAGAGGUACUGGAAAGUGUUUCUAGAAAGAA
rnacentral:ncRNA from 1 species